CCCAAUGUAGUGUAGUGGUUUGAGCACUAGACUAUGGCUCUGGAGACCAGGGUCUGAAUCCCUGCUCAGCCA